GCUGGUGAACUGAUGAUAUCAUUUCUUUCCCCGUCAGAUCGACCCUGUUGAUCUCAAAUACUAAUUGCCAGUUUUGUCUGAUGCAUCAGC
ensembl:snoRNA Snord12 small nucleolar SNORD12/SNORD106